UGUUCUCCUGGGACGGACAACAUCGGGAAACUGAUGGGAAAACGUCUAAGUUGCAGUUAAUUGACUGUGACGUAAACCUUUGUGUGCAGGAGAGUAAGAUUCCAUCCUAUCAGUUAGUAAGUAGGGUAAGGGCCUACUUAGACGAAGACGGGUACGGGGAAUGAGGGUUUGAUUCCGGAGAGGGAGCCUGAGAGAUGGCUACCAGGACCAAGGUCAGCCGCNGGCGCUAAAAUUAUNGAAGGCCGCCUAGGGGCGAUAGUGAGGAGACGUGUAUAACGAAGUACGUGUAAAGAACGUGCUAAUAACUGGAGGUCAAGUCUGGUGCCAGCAUCCGCGGUAAUUCCAGCUCCAGGGGUGUCUAUGAUGAUUGCUGCGAUUAAAAAGUCCGUAGUCAAUCUGACUGACUGACCUGCAAUGUGAUUGAUUAAAGAACGAGCAGGGUUAGGAAAGCAGAGAAUUAGGAGCGACCGAGGGCUAGAGUAUUGAAUGGCGAGAGGUGAAAUUUGAUGACCCAUUCAGGAGUGACAAACGCGAAGGCACUAGUCAAGGGCGAAUCCGAUGAUCAAGGACGUAGGCUAGAGUUUCGAAAACGAUUAGAGACCGGAGUAGUUCUAGCAGUAAACUAUGCCGACGCCGUGGUAUCAACAAUGGUAUUGCGGAAGAGAAAUCAAGUAAGGCUUUGGGGAGAGUACGCGCGCAAGCGAUAAAUUUAAAGGAAAUU
rnacentral:rRNA from 1 species